rnacentral:rRNA from 1 species
GAAUCAACGCUGGCGGCGUGCCUAACACAUGCAAGUCGAACGCGACUGGGGCUUCGGCCUCAGUUGAGUGGCGAACGGGUGAGUAACACGUGGGUGACCUACCUUCGAAUGGGGGAUGACGUCCCGAAAGGGACGCUAAUACCGCAUAACAUCCCGCCUUUGAACAGGCGGAGAUCAAAGCCGGGAUCGCAAGACCUGGCGUUUGAAGAGGGGCCCGCGUCCGAUUAGCUAGUUGGUGAGGUAACGGCUCACCAAGGCGACGAUCGGUAGCCGGCCUGAGAGGGCGGACGGCCACACUGGGACUGAGACACGG